CCUGUCCCUUCUUAGAAGCAUUGCAAAUGUGGCUGCCGUGUCACAUGGGUGUCAGUAGGUGGCAGAGCAGCGAGAGGCUAUGUCUGUGCUCAGUGUUCUGACCUGUGAACAUCUGAAUGACUAGUAGCCUAAUAUU
ensembl:snoRNA